rnacentral:rRNA from 1 species
GAUGAACGCUAGCGGCAGGCCUAAUACAUGCAAGUCGAACGAGAUUGAAGGGCUUGCUCUUCAUGAAAGUGGCGCACGGGUGCGUAACGCGUAUGCAACCUACCUUGAUCAGGGGGAUAGCCUCUCGAAAGGGAGAUUAACACCGCAUAAAAUCACAGUCCGGCAUCGGAUAAUGAUCAAAUAUUUAUAGGAUCAAGAUGGGCAUGCGUGUCAUUAGUUAGUUGGUGAGGUAACGGCUCACCAAGACCACGAUGACUAGGGGAUCUGAGAGGAUGACCCCCCACACUGGUACUGAGACACGGACCAGACUCCUACGGGAGGCAGCAGUAAGGAAUAUUGGUCAAUGGGGGCACCCCUGAACCAGCCAUGCCGCGUGCAGGAAGACGGCCCUACGGGUUGUAAACUGCUUUUAUACGGGAAUAAACCUCUGUUCGUGAACGGAGCUGAAUGUACUGUAAGAAUAAGGAUCGGCUAACUCCGUGCCAGCCGCCGCCGUAA